GUGUUCGUAGUGUAGUGGCCUGCAUGUCUGGCUGUGACCCAGAAGGUACCGGAUCGAUACCGGUCGAACACCCCA
rnacentral:tRNA from 1 species